ACGCUCGACACCUACUGGAGGCAGCAGUGGGGAAUAUUGCACAAUGGGGGAAACCCUGAUGCAGCAACGCCGCGUGAAGGAAGACGGUUUUCGGAUUGUAAACUUCUGUUCUUAGUGAAGAUAGUGACGGUAGCUAAGGAGCAAGCCACGGCUAACUACGUGCCAGCAGCCGUGGUAAUCUGAGCGGGCUGGCAAGGC
rnacentral:rRNA from 1 species